GACGAACGCUGGCGGCGUGCUUAACACAUGCAAGUCGAACGGAAAGGCCCUGCUUUUGUGGGGUGCUCGAGUGGCGAACGGGUGAGUAACACGUGAGUAACCUGCCCUUGACUUUGGGAUAACUUCAGGAAACUGGGGCUAAUACCGGAUAGGAGCUCCUGCUGCAUGGUGGGGGUUGGAAAGUUUCGGCGGUUGGGGAUGGACUCGCGGCUUAUCAGCUUGUUGGUGGGGUAGUGGCUUACCAAGGCUUUGACGGGUAGCCGGCCUGAGAGGGUGACCGGCCACAUUGGGACUGAGAUACGGCCCAGACUCCUACGGGAGGCAGCAGUGGGGAAUAUUGCACAAUGGGCGGAAGCCUGAUGCAGCCCCGCCGCGUGCGGGAUGACGGCCUUCGGGUUGUAAACCGAUUUCGCCUGUGACGAAGCGUGAGUGACGGUAAUGGGUAAAGAAGCACCGGCUAACUACGUG
rnacentral:rRNA from 1 species